AGUAGAGCGGCGCACGGGUGAGUAACGCGUGGGUAACCCACCUCCGGGCGGGGGAUAACCACUCGAAAGGGUGGCUAAUACCGCAUGAGACCACGGGGUCCUCGGAUCCUGGGGCCAAAGAUGGCACCGGCUUGCCGGUGCUGUCACCUGGAGACGGGCCCGCGUACGAUUAGCUAGUUGGUAGGGUAACGGCCUACCAAGGCUGCGAUCGUUAGCUGGUCUGAGAGGAUGACCAGCCACACUGGAACUGGAACACGGUCCAGACUCCUACGGGAGGCAGCAGUGAGGAAUAUUGCGCAAUGGGGGAAACCCUGACGCAGCAACGCCGCGUGGGUGAAGAAGCCUUCGGGUCGUAAAGCCCUUUCGGACGGGACGAACGCUCCGCGGGGAUAAUCCGCGGGGCCUGACGGUACCGUAGGAAGAACACCGGCUAACUCCGUGCCAGCAGCCGCGGUAAUACGGAGGGUGCAAGCGUUGUUCGGA
rnacentral:rRNA from 1 species